AGUCUGACGGAGCAACGCCGCGUGAACGAUGAAGGUUUUCGGAGUCGUAAAGUUCUGUUGUUAGGGAAGAACAAGUACCGUUCGAAUAGGUCGGUACCUUGACGGUACCUAACGAGGAAGCCCCGGCUAACUACGUGCCAGCAGCCGCGGUAAUACGUAGGGGGCAAGCGUUGUCCGGAAUUAUUGGGCGUAAAGCGCGCGCAGGCGGUUCCUUAAGUCUGAUGUGAAAGCCCACGGCUUAACCGUGGAGGGUCAUUGGAAACUGGGGAACUUGAGUACAGAAGAGGAGAGUGGAAUUCCACGUGUAGCGGUGAAAUGCGUAGAUAUGUGGAGGAACACCAGUGGCGAAGGCGACUCUCUGGUCUGUAACUGACGCUGAGGCGCGAAAGCGUGGGGAGCAAACAGGAUUAGAUACCCUGGUAGUCCACGCCGUAAACGAUGAGUGCUAGGUGUUAGGGGGUUUCCGCCCCUUAGUGCUGCAGUUAACGCAUUAAGCACUCCGCCUGGGGAGUACGGCCG
rnacentral:rRNA from 1 species